UCUGCCUGUAGCAAGGUCAAGAUAUUUAGCGUGAGCCAAGUGGUUUCUCAAGCAGUGGACAUGCACAGAUAGGCCGCUGGCCCACACCAUGGUCUAACAGCUGCAUGUCGUUCAGCCAAUGCUUCUGUGAAAACUUGCCCAGUUCUGCAGAGCAAGGCUCACCCUGCAAUUUCCCACUGAGUCAGGAGGUCAAAAUCGGUAUGUUUGGAAGACUUGUUCAAAAUAGAUGUCCUA